GUGGACACUUAAAAAACGCACAAGACUCAUUUCAUUCACUGUGUUGCAAGACAGUCUGCAUAUUUAAUCUGAGGACAAAAACUUGCAACGGGUUCAACCAAACAGGGCAAAACGAGUGUGAUUGUGUAGCCACAUACGAGUCUUAUCGAUGCUGAGCCUUCUGACUCAUCGGCCAAAUAGAGGUUCAGGUAAGGAGGUGGCGAGUGAGCUGGACUUCCUACCCGCCAUUUGGCCUUUGCAAAGUUCUUCUCAAACUGGGCACAGACGCCAUCCUUUAGGUUCUUCUCUGACGCGCCAUUACCUGCAAUCCUGACAAAAGCGUCACUUCAAACAUUGACUGCGUACAAUUUAAGGAUCAUGAUCUCAUUCUUGGCGGCCUUGCGGACUUUCCUGCCAUCUUUCUUGAGGAAUUUCUUGCAGACAAACACUUUGUUUGUUUGUCUUUCCUUAGCCAGGCACAGCUCACAGAACUCUUUCCUAUACGUCACAAGAACAAGACAGAAAGAGAAAUAAGACAUAUAUAAGAAAAUAAAUAAAUAAGAAAUAAAUACGUUUAUUAAACCCCAGUCUUAUAAUC